UCUUACCCAUGUCUUUUGAGUACCUUCGUUUCCUCGGCGGGUUCGCCCGCCGAUUGGACAAUUUAAACCAUUUGCAGUUGCAAUCAGCGUCUGAAAAAACAUAAUAGUUACAACUUUCAACAACGGAUCUCUUGGUUCUGGCAUCGAUGAAGAACGCAGCGAAAUGCGAUAAGUAGUGUGAAUUGCAGAAUUCAGUGAAUCAUCGAAUCUUUGAACGCACAUUGCGCCCCUUGGUAUUCCAUGGGGCAUGCCUGUUCGAGCGUCAUUUGUACCUUCAAGCUCUGCUUGGUGUUGGGUGUUUGUCUCGCCUCUGCGCGUAGACUCGCCUCAAAACAAUUGGCAGCCGGCGUAUUGAUUUCGGAGCGCAGUACAUCUCGCGCUUUGCAUUCAGAACGACGACGUCCAAAA
rnacentral:rRNA from 1 species